UAUCUGUUUGCUACCAACAGGGUACUGACAGAUGUCUUUAUUCCUCUUAAAGAUAGAUGAAUUGAGGCUCUUCAGUGCCCAUGUUAUUGUCUUACUUAAUUCCCCUGUAUUCACCUUGAUUUUAUUACGCUUCAAGUCCUGUCAGUUGAACUUGGAUUUCAAUAUCCACCCUGAGGGGGUUUUUCCUUGACUGGCUGUGCUUGAAGCUACGGUAGGUUUUAUUUCUCCUACCUAUGGAAUUUUGCUGCCAGCCCCCCUUCAUGGGCUGAACAGCAUGGGCUGUUACCUGGCUGUGGAUAUAUGCGCAUUUGCUCCUAUGAACUUUGGUUUCUUUUGCCCCGCCAGAGAUCCCAGCCAAACUUUUGUUUGUACUCUAUAUACAUGACAUGUGUUGUUGAACAUAUAUAAUCGAAGUUCUUUUAGAGCUUAUAUUGUAUGCAUAUGUUAAAAUUGUUUUAUUCUUUUUCAUCUCUUUAGAGUAAUCUAGAGAGACGAUCUUGUCCUAAUUCCCCUGAAGAAGCCAAGAGGCGAAACUAGUAGGGUCGACCUGAUCGAAAAAAUUAUUUCUAGAUCUUGCUCCCACAAAAUAAUUUAUGCACUAUUUGUAUAUUGAAUUACUAUAUUUUGUAAAAAUUGAAUGAAUAAACCUUUUUCAUAUAUUUUUAUAUAUACAUACAUACAUAC